UACAGAGGGUGCGAGCGUUAAUCGGAAUUACUGGAGCGAUAAAGCGUGCGUAGACGGCUAGUCUAAAGUCGGGUGUGAAAGCCCCGGGCUCAACCUGGGAAAUUGCAUUCGAGACUGAAUGAGCUAGGGUACGGUAGAGGGAAGCGGAAUUUCCGGUGUAGCGGUGAAAUGCGUAGAUAGUCAGGAGGAACACCGGUGGCGAAGGCGG
rnacentral:rRNA from 1 species